GACGAACUGUCCUAACGUUGUUCGGAUCACUGGGCUUAAAGGGCGCGUAGGCGGACGUCAAGUCAGGGUGAAAUCUUCAGCUUAACUGGAAAGUAGUCUUCUGAUACUGAUCGUCUCGAGGGAGGUAGGGGCAUGUGGAACUUCCGGUGGAGCGGUGAAAUGCGUAGAGAUCGGAAAGAACACCAACGGCGAAAGCACUCUGCUGGGCCGACACUGACACUGAGAGACGAAAGCUAGGGGAGCGAAUGGG
rnacentral:rRNA from 1 species